GACGAACGCUGGCGGCGUGCUUAACACAUGCAAGUCGAACGGAAAGGCCCUGCUUUUGUGGGGUGCUCGAGUGGCGAACGGGUGAGUAACACGUGAGUAACCUGCCCUUGACUUUGGGAUAACUUCAGGAAACUGGGGCUAAUACCGUAUAGGAGCUCCUGCUGCAUGGUGGGGGUUGGAAAGUUUCGGCGGUUGGGGAUGGACUCGCGGCUUAUCAGCUUGUUGGUGGGGUAGUGGCUUACCAAGGCUUUGACGGGUAGCCGGCCUGAGAGGGUGACCGGCGACAUUGGGACUGAGAUACGGCGCAGACUCCUACGGGAGGCAGCAGGGGGGAAUAUUGCACAAUGGGCGGAAGCCUGAUGCAGCAACGCCGCGUGCGGGAUGACGGCCUUCGGGUUGUAAAAAGCUUUCGCCUGUGACGAAGCGUGAGUGACGGUAAUGGGUAAAGAAGCACCGGCUAACUACGUG
rnacentral:rRNA from 1 species